rnacentral:rRNA from 1 species
UACGGAGGGUGCAAGCGUUAAUCGGAAUUACUGGGCGUAAAGCGCACGCAGGCGGCUGAGUCAGUCGAUUGUGAAAGCCCUGGGCUUAACCUGGGAAUUGCAGUCGAUACUACUCAGCUAGAGUAUGGGAGAGGGCAGUGGAAUUCCCGGUGUAGCGGUGAAAUGCGUAGAUAUCGGGAGGAACAUCAGUGGCGAAGGCGGCUGCCUGGCCCAAUACUGACACUCAGGUGCGAAAGCGUGGGGAGCAAACAGG